GACAGAGGGGGCAAGCGUUGCUCGGAAUCACUGGGCGUAAAGGGUGCGUAGGCGGGCCUUUAAGUCAGGGGUGAAAUCCUGGAGCUCAACUCCAGAACUGCGUUUGAUACUGAGGAUCUUGAGUUCGGGAGAGGUGAGUGGAACUGCGAGUGUAGAGGUGAAAUUCGUAGAUAUUCGCAAGAACACCAGUGGCGAAGGCGGCUCACUGGCCCGAUACUGACGCUGAGGCACGAAAGCGUGGGGAGCAAACAGG
rnacentral:rRNA from 1 species